rnacentral:rRNA from 1 species
UACGGAGAGUGCGAACGUUGUUCGGAUUCACUGGGCGUAAAGGGCACGUAGGCGGCUCGGCAAAUCGGUCGUGGAAUCCCGGCGCUUACCGUCGGAACGGCGGCCGAAAAUACCGAGCUAGAGGGCGUGAGGGGUCACUGGAACUCCUGGUGAAGCGGUGAAAUGCGUAGAUAUCGGAAGGAACACCAGUGGCGAAAGCGGCUUCCUGGUCCAGCACCGACGUUCAGGCACGAAAGCGUGGGGAGCAAACAGG